AUUGAACGCUGGCGGCAGGCUUAACACAUGCAAGUCGAGCGAGCGGCGGACGGGUGAGUAAUGUCUGGGAAACUGCCUGAUGGAGGGGGAUAACUACUGGAAACGGUAGCUAAUACCGCAUACCAUCAGAUGUGCCCAGAUGGGAUUAGCUAGUUGGUGGGGUAAUGGCUCACCCAGGCGACGAUCCCUAGCUGGUCUGAGAGGAUGACAAGCCAAACUGGAACGGGGAAACGGUCAGAACUCCUAGGGGGGGAAGAAGUGGGGAAUAUUGGAAAAUGGGCGAAAGCCUGAUGAGGCAAUGCCGCGUGUGUGAAGAAGGCCUUCGGGUUGUAAAGCACUUUCAGCGAGGAGGCGUUACUCGAAGAAGAAGAACCGGCUAACUCCGUGCCAGCAGCCGCGGUAAUAC
rnacentral:rRNA from 1 species